CCACAGGGAAUCAAGCUUGAAGAGCAGAAGCCGGGCCCCCAGAAGAACAAGGAUGACUAUAUCCCGUACCCCAGCAUUGAUGAGGUUGUGGAAAAGGGAGGCCCGUACCCCCUGAUUGUCCUGCCCCAGUUUGGAGGCUAUUGGAUCGAGGACCCGGAGAACGUGGGGACGCCGACCUCCCUUGGCAGCAGCAUCUGUGAGGAGGAGGAAGAGGGCAGCCCCAGCCCCAGCACGUUCGGCUAUAAGCUCGAGUGCAGGGGCGAAGCCAGGGCCUACCGCAGGCACUUCCUGGGGAAGGAUCACCUAAACUUUUACUGUACUGGCAGCAGUUUGGGGAACUUGCUCCUGUCCGUCAAGUGUGAGGAGGCGGAGGGCAUGGAGUACCUUCGGAUCAUUCUCAGGUGGGGCUG